GCACUGGUGGUUCAGUGGCAGAAUUCUCACCUUCCGUGCAGGAGACCUGGGUCCAAUUCCCGGCCGAUACA
rnacentral:tRNA from 1 species